rnacentral:rRNA from 1 species
GAUGAACGCUGGCGGCGUGCCUAAUACAUGCAAGUCGAGCGAACAGACGAGGAGCUUGCUCCUCUGACGUUAGCGGCGGACGGGUGAGUAACACGUGGAUAACCUACCUAUAAGACUGGGAUAACUUCGGGAAACCGGAGCUAAUACCGGAUAAUAUAUUGAACCGCAUGGUUCAAUAGUGAAAGACGGUUUUGCUGUCACUUAUAGAUGGAUCCGCGCCGCAUUAGCUAGUUGGUAAGGUAACGGCUUACCAAGGCAACGAUGCGUAGCCGACCUGAGAGGGGGAUCGGCCACACUGGAACUGAGACACGGUCCAGACUCCUACGGGAGGCAGCAGUAGGGAAUCUUCCGCAAUGGGCGAAAGCUUGGCGGAGCAACGCCGCGUGAGUGAUAAAGGUCUUCGGAUCGUAAAAAUCUGUUAUUAGGGAAAAACAAAUGUGUAAGUAACUAUGCACGUCUUGACGGUACCUAAUCAGAAAGCCACGGCUAACUACGUG